UCUGCCUUGUAGUGGGGGAUAACUUGCCGAAAGGUAAGCUAAUACCGCAUACGCCCUAAGGGGGAAAGCAGGGGACUCUUCGGAGCCUUGCGCUAUUAGAUGAGCCUAGGUCGGAUUAGUUAGUUGGUGGGGUAAUGGCUCACCAAGACCGCGAUCCGUAACUGGUCUGAGAGGAUGAUCAGUCACACUGGAACUGAGACACGGUCCAGACUCCUACGGGAGGCAGCAGUGGGGAAUAUUGGACAAUGGGGGGAACCCUGAUCCAGCCAUGCCGCGUGUGUGAAGAAGGCCUUCGGGUUGUAAAGCACUUUAAUUUGGGAGGAAGGGCUUACGGUUAAUAACCGCUAAGUUUUGACGUUACCAAAAGAAUAAGCACCGGCUAACUUCGUGCCAGCAGCCGCGGUAAUACGAAGGGUGCGAGCGUUAAUCGGAAUUACUGGGCGUAAAGCGCGCGUAGGUGGUUCAUUAAGUUAGGAGUGAAAGCCCCGGGCUCAACCUGGGGAAUUGCUUCUAAAACUGGUGAGCUAAAGUACGGUAGAAGGUGGUGGAAUUUCCUGUGUAGCGGUGAAUGCGUAAAUAUAGGAAGGAACAUCAGUGGCGAAGGCGACCACCUGGACUGAUACUGACACUGAGGUGCGAAAGCGUGGGGAGCAAACAGGAUUAAAUACCCUGGUAUUCCACGCCGUAAACGAUGUCAACUA
rnacentral:rRNA from 1 species